AGGAGGUGUCCAUGCAGCGGCGGCAGCCGCAGCCGCAGCACCAUGGAUCCACUCUGAAGCCGUCUGCCUCCCUGACCUCAGGCUGACUGCACAGCUGGCUCCCGUGGAAAAGAGGUUCCCCCCUCUGCAUGCUAGAACAGCAGCAGCAGCAGCAGCCAAAAUGGUGGACAUCAAACGUUCUCUACCCGGUCCACCGGGGCUUCCACGCUCCUGCAUUUCAUCUGAGAACAGACCUGCUGAAGGACACUCGAGCAAAUAGGGCAACUUGUACGUGUGUGUGUGCACGUGUGCGUGUGUUCGUGUCGGCCACAGGUUACAGCAAGGUCACCCAAAGACUCUCAGGGUGAUAAUCCAAUGCCUCUAAAUUUGAAAUGCAGCCCAAGGCCUGCCUGAAUCUUCCUCCCAGGGGACGAGGCACUCUGCGGUGGGGUCCAAAAGUCUUGAAGGACCACUUCCCCCACCGUACGCUUACCUGCAGUGACUCCAGGAAGCGGAAGGAGCCCAGGCGUCGACCUCGAGGCACCAGGCAGAAGGUGGAGUUGUGGAGGAGCUCCUG